GCCUCUAGGGUUUCCCCCGAUACAAUGGCGAAGUGCAGGAUCUGCCGCCAAUACUGGAGACACCUUGCCAAGCACCACGGCUACGCAGAUCCAAGCCGCCGUAGCGCACCCAGUCAUCAUCGCCGGCCCUCGUCUUCUUCUACGGCAAUGACCCAAUCUCACGCGCGGGACGAACCCCGUCGACAAGCGCCGUUUUCUUCUUCCUCAACGACGGCCACCGAUUCCGAAUCCCAACAGGGUGAAGAAUACGAACAUCUGGAGUACAUCAUUCGAGGACCACCCCCUAAUAUCCAAUACUGCGGAGAGCUUGAAAAGUACUGUCACUGGGGAAAUGAAGUGAAGCUCUAUCGGCACCAUGUGGACAAGUUGUAUGCAAUAUUCCCCCGCAAAAUACCAGAUAUCAAAUACUAUGUCUGCACCGUCAACAAAACAUUCACACAGCAAGGCCAACGGAUGUAUUUUCCAGUCCACUACACCAAAGAAAACCUCAAAAAGUACAUUAAGCCAGAUGAUGACAUGCUCAAGGUCAAGCUCGCAAACAGCAGUCUGCACACCAAUUGUCGUAUCAUGCUGGGAACAGACAAGAGAGCAACAAUAACCAGAAACUGGUCAGAGUUCCGCCGCUGUGCAAGCAUCCAUGAAGGAGAUAUAUGCACCUUCCAUUUCAACCUUACCGCAGAGCAC
rnacentral:rRNA from 1 species